UGGGGAAUAUUGCGCAAUGGCCGAAAGGCUGACGCAGCGACGCCGCGUGGGGGAUGAAGCAUUUCGGUGUGUAAACCCCUGUUGCUCGGGACGAACAACUGGAUUCUUCCAGUCUGACGGUACCGGGUGAGGAAGCACCGGCUAACUCCGUGCCAGCAGCCGCGGUAAUACGGAGGGUGCGAGCGUUGUCCGGAAUCACUGGGCGUAAAGGGCGCGUAGGCGGCCUGCUAAGUGUGCGGUGAAAGCCUGG
rnacentral:rRNA from 1 species